UUCGAGUGGCGGACGGGUGAGUAACGCGUGGGCAACCUGGCCUGUACAGGGGGAUAACACUUAGAAAUAGGUGCUAAUACCGCAUAACGGGGGAAGCCGCAUGGCUUUUCCCUGAAAACUCCGGUGGUACAGGAUGGGCCCGCGUCUGAUUAGCCAGUUGGCAGGGUAACGGCCUACCAAAGCGACGAUCAGUAGCCGGCCUGAGAGGGCGGACGGCCACACUGGGACUGAGACACGGCCCAGACUCCUACGGAAGGCAGCAG
rnacentral:rRNA from 1 species